UGCAAGCGUUGUCCGGAUUUAUUGGGUUUAAAGGGUGCGUAGGCGGUUCUUUAAGUCCGUGGUGAAAUACUGCAGCUCAACUGUAGCAUUGCCAUUGAUACUGAAGAACUUGAGUACAGAUGAGGUAGGCGGAAUUUAUGGUGUAGCGGUGAAAUGCAUAGAUAUCAAGAGGAACACCUGAGGUGAAGACGGGUUGCUAGGCUGACACUGACGCUGAGGCGCGAAAGCCAGGGGAGCAAACGGG
rnacentral:rRNA from 1 species